GUCGUCAUUCCAGAUGAAGAGGUCGAUGAGGACGCGCCUGUUGAACUGAGCGUUCAUCAGGGCCAGCUGCUGCUCCAGCUUCCACUGGGGGCCUGGGGAGUCACGCCCACUCUGGAGACCGUCAGGGCCUGGGGUCUCAGCCCAGCCCUCGCCAGGCAACGCGUCUGCCUCCUAAGCCCAGAGCUCCAGGUGGAGGGGACCCUUGCCCGGGUGGGGGUGACCAGCUGACUGUGGGCCCAGAGGGCUGGAGCGCGAGGGAGGGGUCACACCUCCCCACACGGGCCACAGGGACAACUGGGCCCCCAGUGCAGCACUGCGUGGGGGCCGCUAACUGCUCUGUGGUCACUCGGACCCUGAGUUGGAGGGGUCCCAGAGCACGCUCGGAACUGGGAGUCGGGGAGGGGUGCCCUCGAGAGCUUCGGGGUCAGCCCUAGGAAGCCCCAGUCACAGAUGGCACUUGCUCUCUGGCUAGGACCCUGAGCCUGCUCCCAGGGCCCUGAGGUGGUGCUGGCAGAGAUGGGCCUCUUGGGACUUCCUGAGAGCCGGAAGCCAGACAGAAGGGUGGCCCCCCCUGGAGGGCCUGGGUCCCCAGGUGUCCCAGGGGCUAUGUCCACUUGUCUGUUCUCCAGGCUGUCUCCAGGCCUGGCCUCACCUUUGGUCUCAUUCCAUUUGUCCAUGAGCACUGGCCACCCUCCCACGGUCUCUAGGACGUCCAACAGGGGCCGAGAGUCUCGCUUCUCUAUCACGCCUAAGAAGGGGAAGAGGGGGCUCACAUGCCUGACCCGGGCCCAAGGGGACUUGUCACCCCCAGCCCACGCCCCCUUCACAGGAUCAGCAUCUUAGCACAGGCGUGGAGGGGGCUGGGGCUGGCGAGAGCACACGGCCCCAGGACAGGGCAGGGACCUGGGGGCUGGCAGCAGGUGAGUGAGCCUAGGAGAGCAAUGGCCAGCCUGACCAGCACUGCCACCGUGGUCCCCAGAACCGGCAGCCCUGGGUGUUCCAGCGGGGGUGGGGCUGUGCUAGAGAUGAUGGCUGGAACCCAAGACAGGCGCCCCCAGUGCAGAGCAGGUCUGCAGAGGCUCAGGAGAGCAGCCGCCCAGAAGUAAGUGCAGGCCGUGCAGAAAAGGCAGAGACCGAGGACGGCCACGGCACCCAUGCACACCCACACAUGUGCCUGCACAGAGCACACCCACAGAGCACACACCUGCUAGACACGCACACAAUGCACAUGUGUGUACACACCACAGAAACACGUGUGUAUAACACAGAGACACUCGCGAUGGUUGUGUACUACAUGCACACAUGCAACACUCACACAUGCAUGCUUCUCCUGGGCUCCCGGCAGGACCCCCGCUGCCUGGACAGAGAGUGGCCUGGGUGUGAGUGAGAUCACAGGGCAGCCGACAACAGGUCUGCUUAUGGACCCACAGGCCAGUUGGAGGGCACAGCGCACAGACCCAUGGCCUGAGCCCUGGGCAGUGUCCACUCCCACGCCUGGGCCCUGGCAGGAGCAGCCCACCUGCAGGAGCGGUACAGCAUCUUGGCCUUCUCCACUGCGGGCCGGUCCUUGUCAGUGGACUUCUCCAACACACCUGAGGGCAGAGGAGAUGUGGACCGAGGUCUGAGGUGACUGCUGGGGGCCAGGGUCAGCAGGCCUGUGCCCUGGGAGCUCCUGAUAAAGGGGAGACCCAGGAGGCCCCGGGACUGCACUGAGAGACCCAGCCAGCCCCCCGUCCUGGCUCAGUGCUGUCCCCACGCUGCUCCACCUUUGAGGAUGACCUCCAGCUCAUCGCGCAGGAUGUCGAAGACGCUGUACCGCGAGCUGGUCUCGGGGAUCACGUGACGCCGCAGCCAGCCUCCGCAGGCGUACUGGUAGAAGUCUUCACAGGGCUCCUUGGUCGGGUCCAUGUUCCGCAGGAUCCUAGCAGCUGCUUGUCCCAGGGUGGGGUGCAGAUGGCCUGACUUGACUUUCUGCUCACGGAGUCUCCCUCCCCAACCAGCUGCAGCCAUGUGCCCCUGGGAGGGGCAGUCACCCUCUGAGCCACGUAAGGCUGGAAUCAAAGGUGGGUUCAAGUCUGGGGCUGCUGCUCAAGGACCACAUGACCUUGGAGCCUCCUGGCUUCCUGAGUCUCCCUUCUGGGGACACAGCAGUCUGACCUGAGAGGCCCUGGGUGGAGAUGAGCCUGGCUCCAGGCGGCUGGCCCUGCCCUUGAGCUGGCGCCAGCUCCUGGCUCCUGGCAGGACCUGAGCCUCUCAGCCGUCAGGUGUGCUUAGCCCCCACCUGGGGUUUGUUUCCUGCUGGGGGUGGCUGAGUCCCUGUGCUGGGCCCAGGGGAUGCUCAGGCUCCCUGCAGAGUGCUCUCAGCUGGACCCCCUUCCUGCAGACACCCGGAGCCCUCCCUUGAAUUCUGGUCCCUUGGAGGCUGGGGACGUGCAGACAGACCACCUGGCGCUGCAGGACCGACUCUGGCAGAAGCGCCUGCUGGAGUCUCUCCUGUCCCUUCCCCACCCGACCUGUGCAAAUGGCAGCUUCUGACACCAGCAGGAGAGCAGAGCCCUGGUCCUCAGAGCCACCAGGCUGCAGCUGCAGGGGCAGGAAGGAGGUGCAGGGAGCCCCAGCAAGCCCGGCCCCCCACUCCAGGAGGGCCCUGGGUGGGCUGCGCCUCACCUGCCAUCACGCAGCCCGAGGUGGUGCAGACGUCCACAGGCGAGGACUCUUUGAUGGCUGGAGAGGUGCUGGCUGAUCUCAGGAACCCAAGCCUGGGGGCGCUCUGGACCUCAGGAGCCACAGCCCUGUGAAGGAGUGGACUGAAGGACCUGUGACCUCAGGGUUAGGGUGUGGCUCACGGGUGAGACGAUGCCAGAAAGGUCUGGAGGAGAGAUGACAGGGCGACACCCUUAACCCAGCCAGUGAUUGACUCCCCGGUGGGACUGACUGAGGGCACUGGAGGCCAGAGGGGUGUGG